GGGGCUGUAGCUCAGUGGCAGAGCACUUGCCUAGCAUGCAGGAGGCCCCGGGUUUGAUCCCCAGCACCA
rnacentral:tRNA from 1 species